UACGAAGGGAGCUAGCGUUGUUCGGAAUCACUGGGCGUAAAGCGCACGUAGGCGGAUGUGUCAGUCAGGGGGUGAAAAUCCCGGAGCUCAACUUCGGAACUGCCCUUGAUACAGCACGUCUUGAGUCCGGAAGAGGUGGGUGGAAUUCCUAGUGUAGAGGUGAAAUUCGUAGAUAUUAGGAAGAACACCGGUGGCGAAGGCGGCCCACUGGUCCGGUACUGACGCUGAGGUGCGAAAGCGUGGGGAGCAAACAGG
rnacentral:rRNA from 1 species